CAAUCAACGCUGGCGGCGUGCCUCAGACAUGCAAGUCGAACGAUUAAGACUUCCUUCGGGAAGUGUAUAAAGUGGCGCACGGGUGAGUAACACGUAAGUAAUCUACCUUCGAGUGGGGAAUAACGUUCGGAAACGAACGCUAAUACCGCAUAAUGCAGCGGCAUCGCAAGAUGACAGUUGUUAAAGGAGUAAUUCGCUUGAAGAGGAGCUUGCGGCAGAUUAGCUAGUUGGUAAGGUAACGGCUUACCAAGGCUACGAUCUGUAUCCGGUCUAAGAGGACGGUCGGACACACUGACACUGAAUAACGGGUCAGACUCCUACGGGAGGCAGCAGUCGGGAAUUUUGGGCAAUGGGCGAAAGCCUGACCCAGCAACGCCGCGUGAAGGAUGAAGUAUUUCGGUAUGUAAACUUCGAAAGAAUGGGAAGAAUAAAUGACGGUACCAUUUAUAAGCUCCGGCUAACUACGUGC
rnacentral:rRNA from 1 species